rnacentral:pre_miRNA from 1 species
AGUGGAGAAAUUUUAAGGAACUACUGCUGUGAUGUGUGUGUCUUUGACUGGCAUAUCACAGUUGUGGUUACCUGAGAUUUUUCAACU